rnacentral:lncRNA from 1 species
CCGCAGACUGGCCACUUUCUCCCGCCACACGUCUCGUUUCCCUGUGAUGCUCAUUUUAACCAGAUGGCACUUGCUUAGCAGUUUGGAGGAGAAGACCUGUUCCCCUGCAGAGAUUCAUUAUUUAGAAAGUGAUGCCUUAUACCCAGGAUUUAAUCAGUGGCUCUUCAGGUUGCCAUGUAGAAAGCAGCUUUGCUGGCUGCCACUUUCGAUCAAGGGCUAAACUCUGAGGGUGACAUGCCACUAAGGAGCUGAACGGAGCCUGAGUCCUUGUAGCAGAGGCUGGUCUCCAGUCCUGUCUGUUCUUCUUCUUGGGCACACAGCUAGGCUACAUUCCCUAGCCUUCCUUGGAGCUUAGAAUAAUUCCUAGCCAAUAGCAUUUGAGUAUAAUUGAGUGGGCCACCUCCAGAUGUGGCCCAUUACAAGUCACAUUCUCUGCCUCCAACCCAGGUUACUUCAGGUAAUAAUCCUUCUGCCUAGAAAGGUUGGGCACCCUGAUAUGCACAAAUCUGCAUUAACUUCACAGAUGACUCAAUUAGCAGGUGAUGACUUACUGGCAGUGUUCAUUACGGUGGCCUUUCUAGUUGUCAUCUUCCCAGAUGACAUUUUUAGAAUUUCAUCUCUACACUUUCCAAAAACACUACUUGACACCUGUGGGUUUUAAAAUGAAAUAACCUCAGAUAUGAAAUAACCUUUCCCCAAUCCAUUCAUUGUAGUUGGAAGCUGGUCUUACUAAUGGCAGGGUGACCGUAACACUUGGUUAUGAACCAGGGUAUUGCCUCCAACCAAGCCUUAACAAUCUCAUCCUCCCUUUAGCCUUCCAUGAUUAGACCUCAACUCAUGAGAACUCUUGCCUUGCUCACAAGUGGGAGUAAAUGCUCAUAGCUCUAGAAAUCUCCCAGGAACCAGACAUCACGGAAACUAGAAAGGCUAAGGGAGUCCAAUCUUCCUCUAAAUUGGCCAACAGUAGAGUGGUGGAAAGAGAACAAGCUGCAAACCAGACAGACCCAAGCUUGAAUCUCACCUCUGCCAAGCUACCAGCUGAAGCCAACCUCCCAGGAAAAGGAUGAGAGGAGAAAGCCAUCCUGCCUGGUGUGUGGAUAAUACCACCACCAGAGUCUCCUGUAAUUUUGAUUCGAUGGCAUGCAGCUGCGUGACCUAAGGCACGUAUCUCCAUUCACAGGGUGUGGUCAGUACUCUGUGAAUAUCAGGUGUUCUGUCUGCCCUGUCUCCUGUCUUCCUGGAGCCUGCCCUUACCCAGUGAGUCCCUGGAGGGAACAUUCUGGCAUCUGGCUGUGAGCUGUCACAGACAUGGGUUUCUUUCGGUUCCCAGAAUGAUGGGAUGCCAGCCGCUGGCUGCCCCCAAGAAACUUGGGAGCAGGACAGGCUUGGCUGUCCCAGAGGAAGAGCCUGGCAUUGGGCCAGGAGGCUCAGGAGGGAAGAUGAGCUCAUUCUGCCCAGCUCGGUUCUCCCGUAUGCAGACCAGGUCAUCACAGGGACCUGCCUCCACAUUUGCAUCCCCCACGGCAUAUUUUCCCAGCACAUGCAGCAUUGGGAACUUGAACGUCCCUCUGCUUUUCCUUGGUGAGACCCACCAGCCCCGCCUUAGGAAGGAGGCUGAACAUUUGACGGAGCUUUCCUGUCACCUGUGAGCGACGUGCACGCUGCUUCCGAAGAAAGAGACAUCCCCCUACUGUUUUCUCACAGUGGGAUGAUUCAACUUUUUCUUUCUCACAAUCCCAGAUAAUCAUAUCUUCCCAGGUUUUGUCAUCUUUGAGGACUACUCACUAUCUAGUUAUGAGUCAAACAAAACCCAAUUUAACUGAUAACUAACCAGCCAUCACGUAUCCCUGAAGAUAAACCUGGUUUAUCCUUUUUAUACCCUCUGGCAGAGCAAAGGAACAAGGAGUUUGGGAGAGAAAAAAAAACACAACACUAGAAACAGCACUGACACAGGUCGUUAAAUACAGAUGUGACCAGCCUUGAUUACAAGUGUUGUCAUCCUCUUUUAACAGGGACCUACCCCGAACUUUCAUGAACCCCUGGUAGCUGAAUAGCAGCUUGUCUAAGCGAGGUGCAGGGAUUUUGUCAAAGUCGGCCUCGGUGUUAAAGGCAGGGCCACCUACCAUGAACUUCUCUCUGUGACUUUAUUCUUUAGCAGUGCUCAAGUGUAAAUAAACUUGUUUACCAGGAUCAGAAUGGCCAUGUUAAUGAAGUCUUAUUUGUGUCACCACAAUGACAAGUAAUUUGUGCACAGCUGGACUCGGAGAGGGGACAAAACCAGAGAAAUUGUAUUUCUGUUCUGAAGUUUCCAUACAGAUGCCUUAGGCCAAAGUUAGUACAGCCAAUAUUUGCCUGUUUCUUUGGAUUGUGUGUCCAUGCUGGAGAAAAGCCUUGUUACUGUGCCCAGUGUGGUAAACGAAAUUAUAUGUACGCAGUGAGAAGAAAAAUGAAAUAAGAAGCACUGAUGAAUGUACCCACGGGUGUGACCUUGGGGGCCAGUGUGUGGUUUUUAUGAAAUGAACGCAUGAAUACGAGGACCCUAAUUAUUGCUUUCAACGGACAAAGUAUGGUGAAUAUAUAGAGAACGUUGCUGUACAACACUGGCUGUGUCUCAAAGCGGCUUUAGAAGUAAAUAUAGAAAUUCUUUGGUACAUGGUAUUGCAUAGAAAAGUCAUUAAGAAAAAAGCAAGACAAUUUGUUAAGACCUUGUUAAGUGGAGCUGGGGGAUGAUUAAUUUUGUUUGUUUGUUUUUGUUGUUCCCUGGUAGAGCUCAACAAACUACAGACCACGGGCCAAAUCUGACCCACCGCUGCUUUUGUAAAUAAAACUUUAUUGGAAAAAAGCCACAUUUGUGUAUGUGUUGUCUGUGGCUGCUUUUGUGCUACCGAGACAGAGGAGUGAACCUCAUCCAAGCCACUGAAGGCCUGAAUGGAAUGAAAA